ensembl:snRNA U6 U6 spliceosomal RNA
GUGCUUGCUUCAGUAGCACAUAUAAUAAAAUUGGAACGAUACAGAGAUUAGCAUGGCCUCUGUGCAAGGAUGACAUGCAAAUUCAUUAAGCAUUCCAUGGUUUU